rnacentral:rRNA from 1 species
GACGAACGCUGGCGGCGUGCUUAACACAUGCAAGUCGAACGGAAAGGCCCUGCUUUUGUGGGGUGCUCGAGUGGCGAACGGGUGAGUAACACGUGAGUAACCUGCCCUUGACUUUGGGAUAACUUCAGGAAACUGGGGCUAAUACCGGAUAGGAGCUCCUGCUGCAUGGUGGGGGUUGGAAAGUUUCGGCGGUUGGGGAUGGACUCGCGGCUUAUCAGCUUGUUGGUGGGGUAGUGGCUUACCAAGGCUUUGACGGGUAGCCGGCCUGAGAGGGUGACCGGCCACAUUGGGACUGAGGUACGGCCCAGACGGCUACGGGAGGCAGCAGUGGGGAAUAUUGCACAAUGGGCGGAAGCCUGAUGCAGCAACGCCGCGUGCGGGAUGACGGCCUUCGGGUUGUAAACCGCUUUCGCCUGUGACGAAGCGUGAGUGACGGUAAUGGGUAAAGAAGCACCGGCUAACUACGUG